GUCCACGCCCUAAACUAUGAUCACUCGAUGUGUGCGAUACACUGUACGCGUCUAAGCGAAAGCAUUAAGUGAUCCACCUGGGAAGUACGACCGCAAGGUUGAAACUCAAAGGAAUUGACGGGGGCCCGCACAAGCGGAGGAGCAUGUGGUUUAAUUCGAUGAUACGCGAGGAACCUUACCUGGGCUUGAAAGUUAGUGAAUGCCGUAGAAACAUGGCAGCAAGCAAUUGCACGAAACUAGGUGCUGCAUGGCUGUCGU
rnacentral:rRNA from 1 species